CUUUUCAUUUCUGAGAGUAUUUUGGAGCCUGUGUGAUCUCUGAUGUGGAAAUUGGGAACUCGUGUUAUGUAAAGAUGGUGUGAACCGUUUGCUUGCUUCGUGUACGUAUAUUCUCACCGGAGGCACCGUCGUGAGCUUUUCUCUUUGGUUCAUUUUGCUGAAACCUCUUUGACCUUUCCAAUAAAUCAUUUGUUUCACCCUGUCAAUGAGAGGAACCAUUGGAAGAAAGAUCCCAAACCCCGAUUUUUCCAAUGCCACUAGAAAAAUGCUAGUUCCAUUCUCUAUAUCUUCUGGUUUUGGUGGUGGCGGACGUGGUCAUGGUCGUGGAGGCUCUCUCCCUGGUUCAGGGCUGUUCAAUAUCAAUGAAAGAGCUCCAGUUAAGCCUAAUUCCAGUGAGUCCAAAUCUGACACAACAGAGCCACCCAUUCCUCUUGGUUCUGGUCAUGGCCAUAGUACUUUUUAAUGGUAAGGAUGAUGGAAGUGAUACUGGAAGAGAAAGAGAAAAUAGAGGGAGAGGUGGGUUUGAUCGAGGCAGGGGCAGAGGAAGAGGUUCAGAGAAGGGGAAGGGGAAGGUCAGAGAGAAGGAUGUGGAUGAAAAGGUUAUGGAUACAGAUGAUUUUGCUACAGGGCUAUAUAAAGGAGAAGAUGCAGAUGGUGAAAAAUUAGCCAGAAAGAUUGGGCCUGAGAUAAUGAAUCAGUUGACUGAAGGAUUUGAGGAGAUGACUAGUAGAAUUUUACCAUUGGCAUUGGAGGAUGAGUUUUUGGAUGCACUAGACAUCAAUUAUGCAAUUGAAUUUGAGCCAGAAUAUUUGGUGGAGUUUGAUAAUCCAGAUAUUGAUGAGAAGGAACCAAUUCCACUACGGGAUGCACUUGAGAAGGCAAAACCAUUCUUGAUGUCAUAUGAGGGGAUUCAAAGUCAGGAAGAGUGGGAGAAAAUAAUGGAAGAGACAAUGGUGAAUGGUGCGAGUUCCAUUGUUGAAAAAGAUUGUUGAUCACUACAGUGGACCAGAUAGGGUAACUGCAAAGAAGCAACAAGAAGAAUUAGACAGAGUUGCUAAAAUUCUUCCUGAAAGUGCACCAUCUUCAGUAAAACAAUUUACUAAUCGUUCUGUUAUUUCUCUUCAGGUUUGGAACUGUAAAUAUUGAUAUUGUGUUGGGCAUAAAAUGUCUUUUACUUGGGCAGUUGUUUCCCUCUUAUGUUGAUAAUCUUAUUAUAAGUAUCUCUGCCAAUGAUGUUCUAUUGCUUGCUCAUGCAGUUCAGUGUUAAAUGAACCCCCUUCCUCGGUAUAGUUUUCUCAUAAUUUGAUGAUAUUAGUAAAGGAUCUAUUUCUCAAGAGUUGCAUAUUCAAUAGAAAUCCAAAAAAUAUUUGCUGUUCUUUCUAGGAAUCCCAAAUCUAGUUGACUAGUUGAUAAAAUAAAUCCCAAAUGUAUUGAGACAUAAAAUAUGUUUUUGAUGUUGUGCCGGCUGAGCGGUUGUUAUUGAUAAGGCAUAGAUAGGAAAAUCAAUUCUCAGCCAAAAACAUAAUUAAUAUUUGUUUAAAUCUAUUAAAAAAUAUUGCAAAAAAAUAAUGAAGAUUGUUAGCUAUUAGAGUUGACUUUGGUAGAAUGAGAUAAUUAUUUACUGUAUGACUAGAAAUCCAGGAGGCUCCCAAACAUUAGUUCCUGUUAUUAACGUGAAUUUGUGGCUUUGCACAUUAAAGAAGUGGUUCGAAGACUUGCUAUUUCAAGAUUAUAUAAAGUUUGCACUGUUUUGGCAAUCAAUUGAUUUUGGACGUAGUCACAAAUGUGGCUGGGAUUGCACUAAUCUAAAUCAGGAUAGGAGUGUAUUUUUAAUGUCCAAAUCUUGAUGUGUUGAGGAUAUCUGUUUUCCUGAGACUUUCAUGAAUUUCCUUAUACUGAGAUUGAUUUAUAAUCCUCCUUUGUCUCUUUUAUCCUUUCAUGAAGUUGGAUAAAUAUGUCUUGUCCACUUUUGACAGCAGAUUCUUCAUAUGAGAUCACAAGCAUAUAACUCUGCUAUCAAUUUUCUUUGCAUAAGAGAUUGAUUAUUACUGAAAAGUUUGGAGCUUGUUCUAUGAAUUAUUUGAGAAUUCCUUGGGCUAAUUCUUUGUAGGGAGACCAGUGUUCUAAAAUUUCAUCUAGUUUUGUUAUUUUUACUUUCAUUGUGCAUCAUACAUAAAAUGGUAUGUUGGUACUUUGAUGUCACAAGUGUUUAUUAUUUUUAUGAUAUUGGUGUUGCUUAGUUUUCUUUGGUGUGUCACAGCUGCAGUCAUUUCUUUUGUAGAAAUCAACAGUUUACUAACUUGAAAAGUCUCAACCACACAAAAAAAGUUCAGCAGAAGAAAGUACUAGAAUUUAACUUAAUGGUCGGAUUUAAUGGCGAGCAACCCAGGUUGGGGAUUUGACAAGAAAUGUCAUUUCAUGGAUAAGCUGGUUUGGGAAGUGUCUCAGCAUUACAAGUAACUUACUAUGCCUUUCAAGCUUAGACAUGGUUGGUUUUGAGGUAUACGAUAUCCAUUGUAAUGUGGACAAGCCAUCCGGCCUGCUUGCAUUUUUUAUUUUUUUUAUUUGAGUUUUCAUUAAAAAAAACUGCUAUUACUCUUGUAAUGGUAUGAAUGAUAGUUUUUGUAGCGUUGUUGCUAGCAAUUGUUACAUCUCUCGUAUACUUUCUAAUAAAGAAAUUAUCAUUUUAAUUA